CAUGUCCUUUUGAUUAUAAUUUAAGGUCUAGUCUGCCCGCUGAUUAAUUGAAGGGCCGCGGUAUUUUGACCGUGCAAAGGUAGCAUAAUCAUUAGUUUUUUAAUUGGAAACUGGAAUGAAUGGCUGGACGAGAAAAUAACUGUCUCUAUCUAAUUUAAAUAGAAUUUUAUUUUUAAGUUAAAAAGCUUAAAUUUUUUUGAAAGACGAGAAGACCCUAUAGAGUUUGAUAGUUUUUAUUAUAUUGAUUAGUUGGAAUUAUAAUUUUAUUAUUGUGAUUAUUAUUUUAUUGGGGUGAUGGAAAGACUUAUUUAACUCUUUUUUUAUUUGAACAUUAAUAUAUGAUUAUUUGAUCCGUUUUUGACGAUUAAAAGAAUAAAUUACCUUAGGGAUAACAGCGUAAUCUUUUUAUAGAGUUCUUAUCGACAAAAGGGAUUGCGACCUCGAUGUUGGAUUAAAGUUAAUCUAUGGUGUAGCGGCUAUAGGGUUGAGUCUGUUCGACUUUUAAAACUUUACAUGAUCUGAGU
rnacentral:rRNA from 1 species